rnacentral:misc_RNA from 1 species
GAUGAAGAACGUAGCGAAAUGCGAUACGUAAUGUGAAUUGCAGAAUUCAGUGAAUCAUCGAGUCUUUGAACGCACAUUGCGCCCCCCGGUAUUCCGGGGGGCAUGCCUGUCCGAGCGUCAUUGCUGCCCUCAAGCACGGCUUGUGUGUUGGGCCUCCGUCCUCCUCCCGGGGGACGGGCCCGAAAGGCAGCGGCGGCACCGCGUCCGGUCCUCGAGCGUAUGGGGCUUCGUCACCCGCUCUUGUAGGCCCGGCCGGCGCUUGCCGACACAUCAAUCUUUUUUCCAGGUUGACCUCGGAUCAGGUAGGGAUACCCGCUGAACUUAAGCAUAUCAAUAAGCGGAGGA